CGCGUGAGCGACAUGCCCGUUGCCCGGGGACAACCGGUGGAAACGCCGACUAAUCCCCGAUGGGAUAUUGUGCCGCAUGGCACGAUAUUGAAAGUUACGGCGGCGACGGAUUGGCUCGCGUCCGAUUAGCUUGUUGGCGGGGUAACGGCCCACCAAGGCUACGAUCGGUAGGGGUUCUGAGAGGAAGGCCCCCCACAAUGGGACUGAGACACGGCCCAUACUCCUACGGGAGGCAGCAGUGAGGAAUAUUGGUCAAUGGGCGGAAGCCUGAACCAGCCAUGCCGCGUGCGGGAAGGAGGCCCUAUGGGCUGUGAACCGCUUUUGCCUGGGGGCAAUAAGGGCGUCGCGCACGCCCGAUGAGAGUACCA
rnacentral:rRNA from 1 species